UACGUAGGGAGCAAGCGUUGUUCGGAAUCAUUGGGCGUAAAGAGCGCGUAGGCGGUUUGGCAAGUCCGGUGUGAAAUCUCACAGCUCAACUGUGAAACUGCAUCGGAAACUGCCUUACUAGAGUGCGGGAGAGGAGAGUGGAAUUCCCAGUGUAGAGGUGAAAUUCGUAGAUAUUGGGAGGAACACCGGUGGCGAAGGCGGCUCUCUGGACCGCAACUGACGCUGAGGCGCGAAAGCUAGGGGAGCGAACGGG
rnacentral:rRNA from 1 species